UUUUUGCUGGCAUUACUGUCUAAAAUAUUUAUACUUUUGUAUUGACUUCAUUUCAGUGAGAUGAUAUUUAUUCAGUACAGGUUCUAGAUUGGGUGGUUACUGUUACAGUAUAUGUGGAUUGCACUAGCCCUUUCCAUCAGUUCGGACUUUUGGUUGCGUUGGCUAGUGCAUGAAGCUUAACAUGGUAUCAGAGCUAAGGUCUUGAGUUCAAGUCCUGGUUUGUGCAAUUUAUCUAAAAAUUGCCGAUGCCCCCCUUUGUGUCCACGUAUAGGCCUCUUGAGUCAUACGUGAGUUUCGCACGCCGUCGCUCUCUUCCGGUUGCACGUGUUGACUUGUCUUCCCCGUCACACGUGAGAGGGGGUGUUACAGUAUAUGUGGAUUGCACUAGCCCUUUCCAUCAGUUCGGACUUUUGGUUGCGUUGGCUAGUGCAUGAAGCUUAACAGUUACCGGUUAUUGUUGUGUUGAUUUAUCACUCUUUGUUGGACAGGUUCGAUUUGCAUCAAACCAACAGAGUAAACUUAUUUUUGCGGCAGUGGAAGGAUUAAUGUGUGUCUUCGACACAUAUGGUGAUGGCCACCGCAACGGCGGGCAGCAUGCCGAUCAACACUGAGUUGCUGACCAUAACCAAGGUGGGCGAAAGCGGAAGGCCAUGGAGCUGGUGCAGGUCGUCACCAACGCCCUCUUCUCGCUGCCGGCCACCGAGGGCUAUGACGGCCCCGUCGUCUGCCUCCGGCCGCCCACCGAUCGCCUACCCGGUGAGAAGCAUAUAUCAAGGAGAAGACGUGCGUCAUUGCGCCAUCGACAGGAAGAGGCUGUUGUGUUUGUGUCGAAUAUUUUCUACUAGUUAGGUUACGUUUGGACUUGGUGUUGUAGUGUGGGUAGGAUACGUGUAGUGAUGCGGAGCAUCCUAUGGACAUUACCAUGUCAAGAGUCCGUUCCGCGAGUGACACGGGUGGCAUCUACUUCACAUACCCAAAGGUGAAUCAUCUCCUUUACACGUGCUCACUUGACACCUUCGAGGAUGGUAUACUACUUGACACUCCACUCAUGUGUAUGCAUAGGUAUUGUCGGAACACUACGGACGACGAGGAGGAGUGCAAGCGUCAAGGAACAACUACACCAUCCAUGAGGGAAGCCUGGAAGCGGAGACGGAAUAAACGGAGCUGCUGGAAGCUACAGUGGCCGGAUAUCUGGGCCAGAGGCCGGACAUCCGGCGCAUGCGCAGAAGAGCUUCAGUAGCCGGACAUCCAGCGCCUGUCAAUAGGCCGGACAUCCGGCAUCGCCCCGGAAAUCCGGACAACGGCUAUCCAGAGAAGAGCAAAACGACCUGUUCUAGGUCGGACAUCCGGCCAGUGCCCCGGACAUCCGGUGUCUCACGAACGGCCGGACAUCCGGCCCCCAGCCCGGACAUCCGGCGCCUGCCUGCGUGCAGAGUUGGGCUAGAGGCCCAUGUAUCCCUUUCCCACUUACCCCUUCAUGACUUAGACUAUAUAUACUACUCCCCCUCCUCCUAGUUAGGGUUAGCGUUGGUUUAGCUCAUUUGAGAGAUAGAGCUACGCUCAUCCAUAUCGGAUCUCCUCCGUGCGAGAGACCGUGGCCUCUUCGGGGAAGAUCCCUUUGGAUUCAAGCCCCGUUUCUAAGGGAAGGUCCCCCCGUGGAUUCAAGACCUCCUCACAGAGAAGAACCGGCUACCUAUGUAUCGUCCCUAGUUGAUUGUGGAUCGUGUAUCUUACUUUAUGUACUCGAGGAUCUAGCACAUGUGUGACUAUUUCUUGUUGGUUGAGUGAUUGUCUCGUGUUUCCUCUCAUGAUUUCCCUCAUUUUUGUUGGAAAUAUGCCCUAGAGGCAAUAAUAAAAGCAUUACUAUUA